rnacentral:rRNA from 1 species
GUUAGGAAUAUUCGUCAAUGGGGGAAACCCUGAACGAGCAAUGCCGCGUGAAGGAAGACGGUCCUCUGGAUUGUAAACUUCUGUUGUUAGGGAAGAACGACCUGUGUAGGAAAUGACAUAGGAGUGACGGUACCUUUCAAGAAAGCUCCGGCUAACUACGUGCCAGCAGCCGCGGUAAUACGUAGGGAGCGAGCGUUAUCCGGAAUUAUUGGGUGUAAAGCGUGUGUAGGCGGGAAAUUAAGUCUAAGGUCUAAGCCCGGAGCUCAACUCCGGUUCGCCUUAGAAACUGAUUUUCUUGAGUGUGGUAGAGGCAAACGGAAUUUCUAGUGUAGCGGUAAAAUGCGUAGAUAUUAGAAGGAACACCAGUGGCGAAGGCGGUUUGCUGGGCCACUACUGACGCUGAGACACGAAAGCGUGGGGAGCAAAUAGGAUUAGAUACCCGUGUAGUCC